rnacentral:rRNA from 1 species
UGAGGAAUAUUGGUCAAUGGGCGCGAAGCCUGAACCAGCCAAGUCGCGUGAGGGAGGACGGCCUACGGGUUGUAAACCUCUUUUGCCGGGGAGCAACGGGCGUCACGUGUGGCGCCACUGAGAGUACCCGGAGAAAAGCAUCGGCUAACUCCGUGCC